rnacentral:lncRNA from 1 species
CCUAUUUACUAAGCUAGUAUUUAUUGUCUUCAAAGCUGAAAUUAGUCAUAAGGUCACUUCCAAAAUAUGAUUUUCGGGUCAUAAUCUUUGAGCUUAUUAGUGCAAAUAUUUUUCUUAUAAAACAAUUUUUCCAAAUUGAUAAAGUUCUCUCAAAUCCAUUAAACGACUUGAGAGUUAUGCUUACUUUAUCAAAACAUAUUUUGUCCUAGAUUAGUCUUGUAGAAAGUUAUGGUGGUUUGUAAAGUGAUAUCUUGAUGCCUUGUAGCUGAAAGUCAUGGUGGGACAUUACUUGAUGAUCAACCAAUAACUCCUACGUUGAAUAUCUAAUUAUAUUCAAACUAAUUUCAUAUGAACAACAUUGGAAAAAGCUUUCAUUAUGUGAAAGGAUCAUAUAAUUCCUAUGUAUGAGUCAAACCCUAUAAAUCAUUCUUUGGAGUUGUCCAUCUUAUGUUAACAUCACAUGUCUUUGAAAUCAUAUUCAACAUAGUCUUUGUUUGCCAAAUUUUUAGGGCUCAAGUUAAUCCUAAUGUCUCUAGUGCAGUUAUCAAUCUAUUAGGAAGAAUUCAAUUCUAAGUCCAACCGGCUCUAGUCAAAAUUGGCUAUGUAGUGCCAAUGAACUUUUAUCAUGCAUGACUGAAAUUCCUUAUAUUCAAAUGAGAUUCCUUUUAUCAUGAAUGUCCACUUUCUAUAACACUUGCUUGAGUAAAUGCUAUUAAAUGUUUACUUUAUAAAGCCCUUGCUUGAGUGGGCACUCUUGAAUGUACACUUUCUGUAGCUCUUGUUUGAAUGAGCGUUGUUGAAUGUCUACUUUUUACAGUGCUUGCUUGAGUAACUACUAUUGAAUCUAAUCCUAUAUUCUACUACGCUCACAUAGACAGUGUUUGAAAACAUUGUUGAAUGAUAUUUUAAGCAUUGUUGUUUUCAAUUCUGGCAUAGUGUAUUUCCCUCAAAUGAAAGGUAAAGUUUAAUGUAAAAAUAGAACUUUUAUCAAAUUAGUUUUUGCUAUCAUAUUUAAUUUUGGUGAUGCAUCUUUUUGGUGGGAAAUAAUUAUGUAAUUGUAUUUUUUUUUGUUAAAUUGAGUCCUCAAAACUAAGAACAAAAUAUCUUCAUUUGAGGUCAUAAAGCUUACGCAACCAAACAUGUCUUAUUUGUGAAUUUGGGAUUGCCUAGCUUAUUUCUGAAUCUUGGACCCCUAUAGAAUUGAACUCAUAAGUGGAUUCAAUGAAUGUGUAUUCAUUGGGUAUGCUAUUAACAACAAGCUUAUAGGUUUUAUAACCUGAACACACAAGUAAUCAUGGAGUCAAAUGAUGUUGAGUUCCAUGAUUAUAGAUUCCCCAUCUAAUUAUGAAAAAAAUGGAACACUUCAACUAGUCAUAGUCACGUGAUUAUGAGAAAUGAAAAUAUAAAAGAAAUAGAAACAAAACCUAGAAGAAUUAAACUAGGAAAAGUUGAUAAAGGCAAUGGGUCCAAUUAUGU